AAUCAACGCUGGCGGCGUGCCUAACACAUGCAAGUCGAACGAGAAAGUGGAGCAAUCCAUGAGUAAAGUGGCGACCGGGUGAGUAACACGUGACUAACCUGCCCUAGAGUGGGGGAUAACCUCGGGAAACCGGGGCUAAUACCGCAUAACAUCGCGAGGGGAAGAUCCUUGCGAUCAAAGGAGCAAUUCGAGCAAGGAGGGGGUCGCGGCUGAUUAGCUAGUUGGUGAGGUAACGGCUCACCAAGGCGAAGAUCAGUAGCCGGCCUGAGAGGGCGCACGGCCACACUGGAACUGAAACACGGUCCAGACUCCUACGGGAGGCAGCAGUGGGGAAUUUUGCGCAAUGGGGGAAACCCUGACGCAGCAACGCCGCGUGGAGGAUGAAGUCCCUUGGGAUGUAAACUCCUUUCGAUCGGGACGAUAAUGACGGUACCGGAAGAAGAAGCACCGGCUAACUCUGUGCCAGCCGCCGCGGUAAGAC
rnacentral:rRNA from 1 species